AUGCUCAGAGCAAAUACAAAUAUGAGCAUGUGCACUGAAGUCCCUCUUAUGUCAUUUGGGUCAGCUGUAGAUGAUUGUGCAGGUUUUGGUUUUAACACACGUUUGCAUCUCUGCAGGAUUGUGGACGGUACUGAGGACAGCGAGGGAAGAGAGAGUUCACAGACUUUCUCUUUCCCUACCAACCUUGGUCGUCCAGUCAGUGAACCAACCAGUGCCUCGCCAUCGACUGCAGAUAUGCUGCGAAUCAGCACAACAGAAUUAGCAGCCAAAGCCGAGGAGACCAGGGGACAACUGCGACACCUCGACCAGCAGGUGAGCAUCCUCCGGAGGGAAGUGGCUGACCUUGGACAAGUCAUGAAGAGAAUGACCCAACUCAUGGAGGCCCUCGUACCACCAGUCCCACAACCACCAGUGAUCUGUCCAACCCAUGUCUCACCCGCACACCACACGUACCUGCACUGUCCCACCCCUCCUCAGUCCUAUUCUAUUUCCCCCUCUAAGACUGCUUCAAUCUGGACAGAACCACCUAUGCCGUUGCCAUCCCUCACAAUCUCUCAGCAGCUUGGUACAAUCUGCCAUGUGGAUACGCUGACACACAGACCGCAAAACCUCCUGUUAGGGUAUCCUGCCGUCCCCAGGUCAACUCCAGCUGCUGAUACGUCAGUUCUUCAAAUACAGCCAUGCUCUGCCAUCUCAGAGCCCACAACGCCUUUGUCAUCUGCCAGUUCACCAGAUUUUUCACAUUACAAAGAUGGAGCUGAUACAGAGUCCACUUCUGCAGGACAGAGGAGAUGA
rnacentral:lncRNA from 1 species